UUGAAAUUAUGUCUGAUGAGCCCCCGAAUGACUACCUCGUGCUGUCGAUCCUGGCCUACUUGCUGUGUUGUCCCAUAGGCAGUGCAGCCAUGUACUACUCUUCCCAGACAAGGCGCCACAACUAUAGGAAUGAACCAGACUUGGCAGCUGAGACCUCUGAGACAACCUGCGUACUCUCAAUCAUAGCAAUUUCUUUGGGAUGCCUCGGUAUACUCAACACCUGGAUUGUGAUCAUAAUGACCAUAUUUGCUCGGUAACCUCCUCUUCAGCUCAUGAACAAACCACCAAAUAUAUACAGUAGUGUCAGUCACCUUGGCUCUAAGUAUCCAUUUGGGCCAAAUGGGACAACUGCUCCUCAAUGUCUGGACUGCCAAGUAUUGACAGCCUGAGCCAGCAACUUGAGAUCCUCCCAAUGUGGGCAUCUCCGGUGGCCCACAUACUAAGUCAAGGAUCCAGGCUCCUCCCACUUGGUGAUUCCACCAUCUUCUAAGGACUCAGAGUAUUUUGAAUUGAGGCAGAAGAUGAGAGACUGGAGAACCUCCACUACCUUCUUAAAAUUCUCUACCCAAAAGUGAACGCUUUGCACUCCUGGUGGGAAUGUAAAUUUUGACAGCCACUAAAGCAAA